rnacentral:rRNA from 1 species
GCUGGCGGAGGCCUACCAUGCAUUCGAGCGCGCCUCUCGGGUGAGCGGCGGACGGGUUAGUAACGCGUGGGAACGUGCCCUUCUCUACGGAAGUAGCCUCUGGAAACGGAGAGUAAUACCGUAUACGCCCUUUGGGGGAAAGAUUUAUCGGAGAAGGAUCGGCCCGCGUUAGAUUAGGUAGUUGGUGGGGUAACGGCCUACCAAGCCUACGAUCUAUAGCUGGUUUUAGAGGAUGAUCAGCAACACUGGGACUGAGACACGGCCCAGACUCCUACGGGAGGCAGCAGUGGGGAAUCUUAGACAAUGGGGGCAACCCUGAUCUAGCCAUGCCGCGUGAGUGAUGAAGGCCUUAGGGUCGUAAAGCUCUUUCGCCUGUGAUGAUAAUGACAGUAGCAGGUAAAGAAACCCCGGCUAACUCCGUGCCAGCAGCCGCGGUAAUACGGAGGGGGUUAGCGUAGUUCGGAAUUACUGGGCGUAAAGCGCGCGUAGGCGGAUUAGAAAGUAGGGGGUGAAAUCCCGGGGCUCAACCCCGGAACUGCCUCCAAAACUGCUAGUCUAGAGUUCGAGAGAGGUGAGUGGAAUACCGAGUGUAGAGGUGAAAUUCGUAGAUAUUCGGAGGAACACCAGUGGCGAAGGCGGCUCACUGGCUCGAUAAUGACGCUGAGGUGCGAAAGUGUGGGGAGCA